rnacentral:rRNA from 1 species
AGAGUUUGAUCAUGGCUCAGAGUGAACGCUGGCGGCGUGCUUAACACAUGCAAGUCGAACGAGAACGGGUUAUAGCUUGCUAUAACUGUCAGCUAAGUGGCGGACGGGUGAGUAAUGUAUAGUUAAUCUGCCCCCUAGAGAGGGAUAACUACUGGAAACGGUAGCUAAUACCUCAUACUCCUUUUCUCUUAAUGAGAAUCGGGAAAUGUCUUUUCGCUAGGGGAUGAGACUAUAUGGUAUCAGGUAGUUGGUGGGGUAAGAGCCUACCAAGCCUAUGACACCUAGCUGGUCUGAGAGGAUGAUCGGCCACACUGGAACUGAGACACGGUCCAGACUCCUACGGGAGGCAGCAGUGGGGAAUAUUGCACAAUGGAGGAAACUCUGAUGCAGCAACGCCGCGU